rnacentral:lncRNA from 1 species
ACAGCUUUGGACAAAAGUCUAUAGCCAGUGCAUUCGUAACUCCCCAUGCACAAGAGCUGACUGUGGCUCUGGGAAGGCAUUUUACUCAUUUGCUUUCUUUUUUCUUAUAGUCUUCUUAUCCAGUUCUCAGGUGUUUACCACCUAUUAGAAUUUCACCUGUGUGGGUACUGUGUUUGAGAAAGUCCCAGGACUUGACAGCCGUAUAGGCCUCAUAAAAGGCAGCUCU